rnacentral:rRNA from 1 species
GCGAGUGAAGCGGCAAAAGCUCAAAUUUGAAAUCUGGCACCUUCGGUGUCCGAGUUGUAAUUUGAAGAAGCUACUUUGGGGCUAGUCCUUGUCUAUGUUCCUUGGAACAGGACGUCAUGGAGGGUGAGAAUCCCGUAUGGCGAGGAGUCUAGUCCUAUGUAAAGUGCUUUCGACGAGUCGAGUUGUUUGGGAAUGCAGCUCUAAGUGGGUGGUAAAUUCCAUCUAAAGCUAAAUAUUGGCGAGAGACCGAUAGCGAACAAGUACAGUGAUGGAAAGAUGAAAAGAACUUUGAAAAGAGAGUGAAAAAGUACGUGAAAUUGUUGAAAGGGAAGGGCAUUUGAUCAGACAUGGUGUUUUGCGACCCUCGCUCCUUGUGGGUGGGGAUCUCGCAGCUCACUGGGCCAACAUCAGUUUUGGCGGUAGGAUAAAUCUUUGGGAAUGUGGCUUGUCUUCGGAGAAGCGUUAUAGCCCAGGGGAAUACUACCAGCCGGGACUGAGGACUGCGACUUUUGUCAAGGAUGUUGGCAUAAUGGUUAAAUGCCGCCC